AUGAACGCUGGCGGCGUGCCUCAUACCUGCCAGUCGCGCGAACAGACGAGGAGCUUGCUCCUCUGACGUUAGCGGCGGACGGGUGAGUAACACGUGGAUAACCUACCUAUAAGACUGGGAUAACUUCGGGAAACCGGAGCUAAUACCGGAUAAUAUAUUGAACCGCAUGGUUCAAUAGUGAAAGACGGUUUUGCUGUCACUUAUAGAUGGAUCCGCGCCGCAUUAGCUAGUUGGUAAGGUAACGGCUUACCAAGGCAACGAUGCGUAGCCGACCUGAGAGGGUGAUCGGCCACACUGGAACUGAGACACGGUCCAGACUCCUACGGGAGGCAGCAGUAGGGAAUCUUCCGCAAUGGGCGAAAGCUUGACGGAGCAACGCCGCGUGAGUGAUGAGGGUCUUCGGAUCGUAAAACUCUGUUAUUAGGGAAGAACAAAUGUGUAAGUAACUAUGCACGUCUUGACGGUACCUAAUCAGAAAGCCACGGCUAACUACGUG
rnacentral:rRNA from 1 species